AAUAAUAGAUUUGAAAUAUUUAUUAUAUAGAUUUAAAGGGAUAAUCAUAGAAUACAUAAGUUAUUAAUAGUAAUAGGUUACUAAUAAAAUAUAUAUAUAUAUAUAUUUUUAAUACCUAAGGGAAACCUAUAAUAUAAAAAACUAAGUGAACUGAAACAUCUAAGUAACUUAAGGAAAAUAAAUCAACCGAGAUAUCAUAAGUAUUGGUGAGAGAAAAUGAUAUAGUCAUAAAUUAUUAAUUAAAUAAUAAUUUAAAUAAGUAUUAUGUAAGAUAAUAUGUAAGAAUAUAGGACAAACUAGUUCUAAGACUAAAUACUAUUAAUAAACAAAAUAAGUACCGCAAGGGAAAGUAUGUAAAUGGUUAUUCUAUAAGCAGUUAUAAAUAUAAUAAUUAUAUUAAUAACGUACCUUUUGUAUAAUGGGUCAGCAAGUAAUUAAUAUUAGCAAAAUAUAUAUAAAUAUAUUAUAAAUAAAUUGAAUAUUUAAUAAUUGUAUUAUAUUUAUUAUUAAUAAUAAUAAUAAAAAUAUAAGUUAAUAUUAAUUGACCCGAAAGCAAAUGAUCUUAUUAUGACAAGACGGAAAUAUUAAAAUAAUUAAUAAAACGGUCGAACAGGUUGAUGUUGCAAAAUCAUCUGAUUAGUUGUGAUAAGUAGUGAAAGACAAAUCUGAUUUGCAGAUAGCUGGUUUUCCACGAAAUAUAUGUAAGUAUAGCCUCUUAAUAAAUAUAUAAUUAUUAUAUUAAUAUAUAUAAUGAACGGUACAGCUAUAAAUAUCAUUUGGGGAAUUAUUGUAAUUUUAUCAAAGAUAUUUAAUCUCGAAAUGUUUAAUUAUAUUAUAAGAGAGUCAGACUAUGCGCGAUAAGGUGAAUAGUCUAAAGGGAAACAGCCCAGAUUAAGAUAUAAGGUUCCUAAUUUAAUAAUAAGUGAAAUAAAUAUUAAAAUAUUAUAAUACAAUUAGUUGAUGGGUUUGACAAUAACCAUUCUUUAAUGAACAUGUAACAAUGCACUAAUUUAUAUAAAUUAAUAUUUCAAAUCAAAUAUAUUAAAAUAUUUGUUAAUAAAUAAUAUACGGAUCUUAAAUAUAUUUAUUAAUUUAAUAUAUAAAUUAAUAAAUAAUAAUUAUUAAACCGAAUAUCUAAAUAUUAUUAUAUAUAAUAAAAUAUAAUAAUAUGGUAGUGGAACAUCUAAUGAAUAAAUAUAUUAGUCAUUGAUUAAUAUAUCCAAACAUAUACAUGGUUGGAGGUAAUUAGAUAGAGAAUGCUGACAUGAGUAACGUAAAAAAGGUAUAAACCUUUUCACCUAAAGCAUAAGGUUUUACUAUAAAAGUACGGCCCUUAAAUUAUAUAUGAAUAUAAAUAUAUAAAUGAUAGGAUAAAUCUAAAUUAAUAAAAUAAAACUUUAUUAUUAAUAAAUUAAUUAAUUUAUUAAUAAACUAAUAAAGUUCAAGAAAUAUUAUUAAUGAAUACCGUAAUGUAUACCGACUCAGGUAUGUUAGUAGAGAAUAUGAAGGUGAAUUAGAUAAUUAAAGGGAAGGAACUCGGCAAAAAUAGCUCUAACGUUAGUCAAUAAAGAGAAUCUUGCUUUUCCAUCAUCCCCCCUCUGGGGGGAUGGUGGGGAACGGGGUAUUAAGAACAAAGUUGUCCAACUGUUUACUAAAAACACCGCACUUUGCAGAAACGAUAAGUUAAAGUAUAAGGUGUGAACUCUGCUCCAUGCUUAAUAUAUAAAUUAUAUUAUUUAAAGAUAAUAUAAUUAAAGUUAGGUAAAUAGCAGCCUUAUUUUGAGGGUUCUAAGGUAGCGAAAUUCAUUGUCCACUAAUUAUGGUCCUGCAUGAAUGACGUAAUGAUACAACAACUGUCUCCCCUUUAAGCUAAGUGAAAUUGAAAUCGCAGUGAAGAUGCUGUGUACCUAUAGUGUGACGGAAAGACCCUAUGCAGCUUUACUGUAAUUAGAUAGAUCGAAUUAUUAUAUAUUAUAUUCAGAAUAUUAAGUAAUUGUUUAAAUAAAUAUGAGAUACUUAUUAUGAUAUUUAUAAUAAUUCUAAUCCUAUAUAUAUUAAUUUAAUAGAUAUAUUCUUAAAUUUAUCUUAUUGUAUUUUAUAUAAAUAUACAAUAAGAUUAAGGAGACAAUCUCUAAUUGGUAGUUUUGAUGGGGCGUCAUUUUCAGCAAAAGUAUCUGAAUAAGUCCAUAUACAUAUUAUAAUUUUAUUUUUAUCUAAAAUAUAUAUUAAAUAUAUUAAUUGUAAAUUACCCUCGUCCCUUAAUGGGAUUAGGGGGUAUUAAUAGAAUAAACUAUGUACAGUAAAAUUGUCUGGAAAACAAUAAUAAAAUUAAUUAAUAAAUUAAUUAAUUUAUAAUAAAAUGUAUUAAAUUAAUAUAAUGGUUUAACUGUGCAACAAUUGUAACACAAACAAGUGAAACAAGUACGUAAGUAUGGCAUAAUGAACAAAUAACACUGAUUGUAAUGGUUAUUGAUAACGAAUAAAAGUUACGCUAGGGAUAAAUAUUUGUCCCAUUAUAUUGAAAAAUAUAAUUAUCCCCCGUUCUUUAAAUAAGUGAGGGGGAGUAAAUUGGGUGAAUUGCAAGAAUAUCCUAAUAUUAUGAAUUUAAUAUGGACAAUUUGCAGCGAAGCUUAUAACAAUCUUCAUAUAUAUAUAUGGUUAUAAGAACGUUCAACGACUAGAUAAUGAGUAAGAUUAACAAUAAUUUAUCCACGAGUGCCCAAUAUCAAAUAUUUAAAUAUUCUUAAAAUAAAUAAUAACAACCAAUAAUGACUAUGAAAUAUAUUACAAAACAACAAAUUAAAAAUUUAGGACCUAAUUCUAAAUUAUUAAAACAAUAUAAAGCUCAAUUAACAAGGUUAACUCUUGUACAAUUAGAAGCUGGUGUAGGUUUAAUUUUAGGAGAUGCGUAUAUUAGAUCGAGAGAUGAAGGUAAAACUUAUUGUAUGCAAUUUGAAUGAAAAAAUGAAGCUUAUAUUAAUCAUGUAUGUAAAUUAUAUGAUGAAUGAGUUUUAUCAUCUCCUCAUAAGAAAGUAAGAACUAAUCAUUUAGGUAAUGAAGUAGUAACAUGAGGAGCUCAAACAUUUAAACAUAAAGCUUUUAAUGAAUUAGCUGAAUUAUUUAUUAUUAAUAAUAAUAAACAUAUUAAUCCUGAUUUAGUAAAUCAAUACAUUACUCCUAGAAGUUUAGCUUAUUGAUUUAUGGAUGAUGGAGGCAAAUGAGAUUAUAAUCUUAAUUCAAAUAAUAAAAGUAUUGUUUUAAAUACUCAAGGAUUUUCUAUUCAAGAAGUACAAUAUUUAAUUGAUGGAUUGAAUAUUAAAUUUAAUUUAAAUUGUAUUAUGAAAUUUAAUAAAAAUAAACCUAUUAUUUUUAUUCCUUCGGAUAAUUAUAAACAUUAUUAUGAUUUAAUUAUUCCUUAUAUCAUUCCUGAAAUAAAGUAUAAAUUACCUACAUAAUGUAAUAAUAUUCUUUUAUUAUUUAUUUUUAUUAUUUAAAUAUUUGAUAAUGACAUAGUCUGAACAAUAUAGUAAUAUAUUGAAGUAAUAAUUAAACAAAAUUACGAUAACAUAAUUGAACAGGGUAAUAUAGCGAAAGAGUAGAUAUUGUAAGCUAUGUUUGCCACCUCGAUGUCGACUCUACCUAUCCUCUUGGUUGUAAGUGCUAAGAAGGGUUUGACUGUUCGUCAAUUAAAAGGUAACGUGAGUUGGGUUAAAUACGAUGUAAAUCAGUAUGGUUCCUAUCUACUAUAGGUAAUAUUAUCAAAUUAAGUCUCAUUCUUAGUACGCAAGGAUCAGAAUGAAUUAACCUAUGGUGCAUCUAUUGAUUAUUAUAUAAUAUAUAUAUUAUAUAUAUAUAUUAUCUAUAUUAGUUUAUAUUUUAAUAAUAAUCAUAGUAGAUAAGCUAAGUUAAUAAAGAAUAAGUAUUGAAUGCAUAUCAAAUACGAAAUUGUCUUAAGAUGAGAUAAUUAACUGAUUAUUUUAUACUAAAAUAUAAUAUAGGUUUUAUUUUUAUUAUAUA
rnacentral:rRNA from 1 species